UACGUAUGGGGCAAGCGUUAUCCGGAUUUACUGGGCGUAAAGGGAGCGCAGGCGGCGCGCCAAGUCUGAUGUGAAACCCCGGGGCUCAACCCCGGGCAUGCAUUGGAAACUGGCGGGCUGGAGUGCCGGAGAGGUAAGCGGAAUUCCUAGUGUAGCGGUGAAACGCGUAGAUAUUAGGAGGAACACCAGUGGCGAAGGCGGCUUACUGGACGGCAACUGACGCUGAGGCUCGAAAGCGUGGGGAGCAAACAGG
rnacentral:rRNA from 1 species